rnacentral:tRNA from 1 species
CGGGGAUUAGCUCAGUAGGCUAGAGCGCUUGCUUUGGGAGCAAGAGGCCGUGGGUUCGAGUCCCGCAUCCCCGA